AACAUUGGACGAUUUGUUAAACAAGUGUGUCAUAAAAUAAGAGGCAACUGACUAACCUUCUGUUAUGUGCUUGAUCGUUUUCUUUUCAAAAUCUCGAACCGUAAUUUUUUUGCAUAAAUGUAAUGUCAACUCGAAGCUGUAACAUAAAAUAUUAGAGUAUUUGUUAAAUAAUUAUGUCAUAAAAUAAGUUAAAACAAAAUAAUUUCAUAUAAAGCUUAUUAAUUUUGCCAUUGUUGACCAUUAGCCAAACUUUCCAAGUUUUGAACCUUUAUUUUUUAUUGUUAUCGUUGAAUUUGAGAUAAUAAAUGAAAAAAAAAAUGGAUAGUGAAAUUAUCCCUUAUUUAUUCUCUUAGAAUUAUAUAUUGGAUAUAUAAUAAUUUAACAUUAAAAUUUAUAAUAAUCUCCAUGAGUAAGACCAUCUUUAUCCCAGUUUCUUAACAUGGGUUUUAAAGAAAAUAAGUGAAUUAAUUAAAUCAAAACUAAAUAAAAAGGUGAUAACCGAUCCUUAAUACAUGAUUUUGGCGAUCGAUCAUAACAAGGGUCCUUAAACCACGUGUCAGCAAACUAGAAAAUUUGAUUUCUUUUUCUUUUUUCUUUUCUCUUUCUUUUAUUUCUCUCCUCCUCUCUGUCUUCUCCGACGAUUGCUUGUGUGAAGAGAGCAUCUCCUCUCUUCAAUCUCCCUUCCUUUGCCUUCUGUGCUCAAAGGAGCCUUCAAAAUCGUCGAAGGUCCCGUCAGCUCCACCACCGGAAACCCAGAUCUUGUAUGUAAUUGUAAGUUGUCUCCCAUGUAUGGUUUAAACAAGCCGAAGAAACAGCAAAGAAGCUAGAUUUGGAUGGAUUGGUGGUUAUCGGUGGAGAUGACUCCAACACCAAUGCUUGCCUCCUUGCUGAAAACUUCAGAUGAGAUUGCGAAGUUGUUUCAGACCAAGGUCUAUAUGGUCAGCCCUCUGUCUCAGUUGUUCCAGACCAGAGUGCUGCUUCGUCGGGACAGAAGCUGAAGAUCGGUGUUGUUCUGUCUGAAGGUCAGGCACCUGGUGGGCACAAUGUCAUCUCUCUAGUACGGUCAGUUUGAUGGUGAUGAAGCCACUGCUGGAUUGGUGAUCAAGCCACUGCUGCUCUAGUACGGUCAGUUUCCUCUCUAUCUCUUUUCUUUCCAGUACUCUCUCUCUGUAAUGGAUGAGUUUUAAUUGUUUAAGAAGCUCUGUUUAGGUUGUUCUGUCUCUUGAUUCUGUAAUGGAGAUAAUGUUCUGUUAUGUUUAUGUUGUGUCUUCUUGUUGUUGUUCUGUUAUAUUUAUGUUUAUUCACUAAACCAAAGUCAUCCAUUUUC